CCCCUCCCACUGGCAAUAAUCUAGAUCAGGUGGCACAUGUGACACGUCUUAAAAGAGGUGCGAACUCAGUAUUGGUGAAAAGACGGUGGAAGUAAAAGCCCCCGUAGCAGCUGCGUAAACGGAACCUUCAGCCUGGUGUCUGCAUGUAACCCUGGCUUGGUGUCUUUUUCUAUGGUGACCAGUAAAUGGUGCACACAACCACGAGUCUACUGACACGUGAGCGCAUAACAGCGAUUGGGACAGAAAGCUCACGUCAGGUGAGAGUGCACUGCUUCGCGUCAUCCACACGCGCAUUGGUACUGGAGUUGUAGGUCUAGUUCAUCAAGGCUGGCCCAAACACGAGGUAGCGCCAACUCUAGUGUCAACUGUGACUCUUAAUUACAGGAGGAUUGCCGUCGUCUGUUCGACCAGCCACUGUUUUUCCCAGGACCGAAUUUGUUUAUUUGUAACUAUUUGAAUGUAACCUUGCUACGAGUGCUAUAACAAUUUGAAUGUAACCUUGCUACGAGUGCUAUAACUAUUUGAAUGUAACCUUGCUACGAGUGCUAUAAACAUCUGCCACUCGUAUCGUGGGUUAAUUGGGAGACUAGGGGGAAGGCCGGCUAGUGGUAGCCCUUUAACCCAAGUUGUUUUGUCUUUUGUUUGUUUUGUCUAUUAUAUCUUUCUUGUGUGGCCCAUGGGCAUUUUUACAUCAUCUCUUGUGGGAACAGUAUUUGUUUUCAGUGUUUUAGUGUUUGAUUUUCAUUUGCUGCUAACUGCAUGUUCAUUGAUUAUUGUAUAAUAAAUGUUUAUUGAUUGCAUCAGUCCCAUUUCUGUGCCUUCAUUGGACACACCUGGAUAUAGUUUGAUAGUAUAGUUUAAUCAUUCUCUAAACUAUAGGAACAAGUACCCCUGGGGGUCACAUACAGUCAAUACUUUCAGACUAUUUGCAUUUAUACAGUGUAGUAUGAAAAUUAAAUUAAAAAAUAUAUUUUUCACCAGUUGUCCCUUCUGACUCCACAAUUUCAUUGCUGAGUGUGUCUGUAAGGAUGUAGUCGUGCUCGUCUCCCAUGGCCACCUUCAGCUUCACCAGGAUGGCAGAUACACUUGCCUCUGCUUCAUUGAAUCGCACUAUAACAACUAGGGCUGUAACGAUACGCGUAUCAAACCGAAAAUCGCGAUACUCAAAGCCACGAACCUGUCUCGCGGUCUGAGAAGGCAGAAGCGCGAUAUGCCCUUUCUAACGCUUCGGUCAAAUUGUCCGAUAGAAAUUUGCUAAUAAUCUGUCUAAAUAUUAGUCUGCUGACAGCGCCCCCUCCUAUUGAUGCCGUAAAUAUGUGACGAGAUGCCCUCUCUGUGAUCACAGCUCUCCGUGGCUACGGAGGAUUGCAUUUCUCCACAGCCGUCGAAGUCCUCAUAUGCGAUAUGAACGACAUUUAUCCAGAGUGGGCCAAGCGCGAAAUGUCUGUGUGAUCCUGUCUCUAUUGUUUUGUGUGAUUUGACUGGCAGUUUGUCUCCUUAUAGGUCAGAAUGGAGCGGCCACCGAUUAUUGAUGGGUACUUUAUUCUACCGGACUCGUUCGCUUCUUCACUAGACACACGCGCUACCGCUCGCUCUCCUCGCUCGUCCACUCACUCGCUGACGUCACUCACACACGCAUACGCACACUGCCAUUCUCGCGCACACACAUAUGCUACUCGUAAUACUAUGCCUCGUUAUUG
ensembl:lncRNA